GCCGCGGUUACACCGUGCAGGCUCGAGUUGAUGGCUCCGGCGUAAAGCGUGGUUAAAGUAUAUACAUCACUGGAAUUAAAUUAUAGCCAAGCUGUGACACGCUCGCUAUACAGAAACCCAAGUACGAAAGUCAUUCCAUUAAACUUGAACCCACGACAGUUAGGACACAAACUGGGAUUAGGAACCCCACUAUGCCUGACCGUAAACUUUCAAACUACAUCAACAACCGCCAGGACAUUACGAGCCAAGCUUAAAACCCAAAGGACUUGACGGCGCCCCAAAUCCCUCUAGAGGAGCCUGUUCUAUAAUCGAUAACACCCGUUAUACCUCACCACCCCUUGCCACAUUCAGCCUGUAUACCUCCGUCGCCAGCUCACCACAUGAGCGAACAUUAGUGAACUCAAUGGCCCCCGCCAAUACGUCAGGUCAAGGUGCAGCAUAUGUUGUGGGCAGAAAUGGGCUACACUUCCUACCCCCCUAGGAUACACAGAUGACCUAAUGAAACCUGGUCAGAAGGCGGAUUUAGCAGUAAAAGAGAGAUAGAGCACCUCUUUUAACUCGGCCCUGGGGCAUGUACACACCGCCCGUCACCCUCUUCGAGUACAUAUAUAUACGAUAAUUAACAUCUUUUUUUCCCCUAGAAGAGG
rnacentral:rRNA from 1 species